GCGGGUAUAACUCGAAUUGGUAGAGUGUCAAGUUUCCACCUUGAAUGUUAAGGGUUCGAGCCCCUUUACCCGCU
rnacentral:tRNA from 1 species